rnacentral:rRNA from 1 species
GAUGAACGCUGGCGGCGUGCUUAACACAUGCAAGUCGAACGGGAAAUAUUUCAUUGAGACUUCGGUGGAUUUGAUCUAUUUCUAGUGGCGGACGGGUGAGUAACGCGUGGGUAACCUGCCUUAUACAGGGGGAUAACAGUCAGAAAUGGCUGCUAAUACCGCAUAAGCGCACAGAGCUGCAUGGCUCAGUGUGAAAAACUCCGGUGGUAUAAGAUGGACCCGCGUUGGAUUAGCUGGUUGGUGGGGUAACGGCCCACCAAGGCGACGAUCCAUAGCCGGCCUGAGAGGGUGAACGGCCACAUUGGGACUGAGACACGGCCCAGACUCCUACGGGAGGCAGCAGUGGGGAAUAUUGCACAAUGGGGGAAACCCUGAUGCAGCGACGCCGCGUGAAGGAAGAAGUAUCUCGGUAUGUAAACUUCUAUCAGCAGGGAAGAUAGUGACGGUACCUGACUAAGAAGCCCCGGCUAACUACGUGCCAGCAGCCGCGGUAAUACGUAGGGGGCAAGCGUUAUCCGGAUUUACUGGGUGUAAAGGGAGCGUAGACGGUGUGGCAAGUCUGAUGUGAAAGGCAUGGGCUCAACCUGUGGACUGCAUUGGAAACUGUCAUACUUGAGUGCCGGAGGGGUAAGCGGAAUUCCUAGUGCAGCGGUGAAAUGCGUAGAUAUUAGGAGGAACACCAGUGGCGAAGGCGGCUUACUGGACGGUAACUGACGUUGAGGCUCGAA